UACGAAGGGGACUAGCGUUGUUCGGAAUGACUGGGCGUAAAGGGCGCGUAGGCUGAUUUAUAAGUGAGUUGUAAAAUACCUGGGCUCAACCUAGGGUUGGCAAUUCAUACUGUUUAUCUAGAGUUUGGAAGGGGAGAAUGGAAUUGCGUAUGGAGAGGUGAAAUUCGUAGAUAUACGCAGGAACACCGGCGGUGAAGACGAUUCUCUGGUACAUAACUGACGCUGAGGCGCGAGAGCGUGGGGAGCAAACAGG
rnacentral:rRNA from 1 species